ensembl:lncRNA
AUGGCGACUGCCGGUGUGCCUCUCCCUGCGUUGUUCCUGCCAUGCAGUGGACAACCCACUAUCCCGUUCGAUAUGUGGAUGAAAAUGUUCGGAAAUUACCUACUCGCUAUUCACGCGGAGGGGGAUGACUGGCCCGAUACGAGGAAGCGUGCAAUUCUCCUACACUGCUUGGGCACCGAAGGCCAACGUGUAUUUUAUACACUCACGAACGUAGGUACAACCUAUGAUUCAGCAGUGGCUGCACUGCGUGCACAUUUCAGUCCAGCAAUAAAUGUCAUGGUGGAACGACACAAGUUCAGGCAAAGAGUACAGAGACCACAUGAGACUGUAGCUGAGUAUGUGGGCGCGCUUCGUGAGUUAGCUACUACGUGCGGGUUUGCUGGUAAUACAGAUGAAAUGAUACGGGACCAACUUAUUGAGCACGCUAGCUGUGUGAAAAUACAUGAGAGACUGUUAGUACAAACUGAGGCAGACCUCACUCUGGAUACAGCAGUAAAGUUGGCGUGUCAAGUGAAAGCAGCUAUCGGACACGCUCAGACUCUAGCUUCGGAGCCGCAUGCUCCAGUGCACGUGGUGAAGGCGAGACCGAAACGUCCAUUCAGAACCAGAGCAAAGAGCAGUUACUCCGCAGUGCCUGCAGCAGCACUGAAACAGGACCAAAGCUGUUUUAGAUGUGGAUCAGCAGCUCACAUGGCAAAUGCUCAGGACUGCCCUGCAAGGAAAGUGACAUGCCGAAACUGCAAUAAGGUCGGACACUUUGCUCAUGUAUGUAAGUCCAAACAAAACACAGCCAAAGUAGGAGAAGUGGUUAUUUUGGAAAUGAAUACGGUGCGAAUGAUAGAAAAUGGACAACGAGAUGACAAAAUUACAUGCACAGUAGCCAUAAAGGAAAAAACAACUUUCCGUACUGUGGAGUUAGUGGUGGAUACGGGAUCGGCGGUGUCAAUCAUUCCUGAGCACCUCUACAGAACGCACUUCAGUGGUGUGCCGCUUGCUGAGCCAGAAAAAAGGUUAGUGACUUACACCAAAGCUGACGUUCCAGUGCUAGGUUGCAUGUUAACUACAGUGCAGUAUGCGACCAUUACAGUACCAGCUACACUGUACAUCGUGAAGACAGGCACGGCCCUGCUGGGAAUGGACUUAUUCAGAGCACUGAGACUUUCUAUUGACAACAACAGCGUGCUCUCACCUGCGGGUCCAGUGACAGAGAUCAGAGAGAUCAAAGUCAGAGCUGUGACUGGGGAGAAGCUAGGUCUUGCUAAAGGUUUCAUUCACCGUGUAAAAGUCAGGGAAGACGUUCAACCUGUUCAACAAAAGCUGCGGAGACUUCCACUUUCGGUUAAACAAGCUGUCUCUGCUAAAUUGGAGAGAUUGUUAGAAAUGGAUGUGAUAGAGAGGAUUGAUGCAUCUCCAUGGGUAUCACCCAUCGUUGUCACACGAAGAAAGAAUGGUGCAGUGAGAAUGUGCAUGGACUUACGUGAACCAAACAAGGCGGUAGUGAUGGACAGUCACCCACUUCCCCAUAUGGAUGAUCUUUUCUCUGAAAUGCGUGGAGCUACUGUGUUCUCCACCAUUGAUUUAGCCAAUGCUUAUCAUCAGGUGUUACUGGCAGAGGAAAGCAGAGAUAUGACUGCAUUUAUAACGCACGAAGGGCUGUUCAGGUUUCGUCGGGUUCCAUAUGGACUGUGUUCAGCUCCAAGUGCGUUCUCCAAGAUGAUGUCUCUGAUGCUGAAAGAUCUUAAGGGGGUCCAGAAUUAUCUUGAUGAUGUAAUAGUCUAUGGCACAGGAAAGGAGGAGCAUGAUCGUAACCUGCAGAUGGUGCUUGCUGCGCUAAAGGAAGCUGGUCUCCAGCUCAACAAUGAAAAAUGUCACUUCAACCAGACCAGCUUACGGUUCCUUGGACACACCAUCUCAGCUCAGGGUUUGCUGCCAGACAAAGACCACCUCAAGGCUAUUACAGCUCUUCAGUGGUUGGAUUUGUGUAAAACACAUACCCAAUAA